UUAUUCUGUCUCUUUCUUGCUGGCCGGCGAUUGAGCAUGGACGUGUCUAGCUGUCCUCUCUCCAUCUUUCGAAUUCACGCUAGACAGCUCACAUCAACAUACCGAUGUCUCAGCAACCAUGUUCUCACACACAGAAGACGUCUCAACAACCAAGAGUAAAGCUGUAUAUUUUCCACCAUAAAUAAAUAUUGUUGAGUUGAUAGUUUGGAGUUCUGCGUUCCGUUCAUUCUAAUUUAAUAUGGGAAAGCAGGUGUACAUCUAAUGAUGUAUAACCCACUUUCCUAUAUGUCCAUACUAUUGAUGAUAACAUGUAGCCAAAUGCAGUGAACAGCAUACUACCAGGUACAAGGCCUGAAAUUUUUUUUGGUGGGGGGGCAGUCGAUUAGAUCGACUGGAGUACGCAACCGGUACUUAAAUCAUUGACCCCGAAAGGAUGAAAAGCAAAGUUGACCUCGGCAGAAUUUGAACUCAGAAUGUACUGCUAAGAAUUUUACCUGGCGUGCUAAUGUUUCUGCCAGCUCACCGCCUUCAAACUGAAGUAAUAUUAAGGAAACAAAUCACUUACCUGAACUAUUUUCUGGCAUAUUGUAACAUUGCUGGACAAAAUUGCAAGGGCUCCAGCUGCUGCAAGUGCUGUUGGUUGAUCUUCAUUGGAAGUGAAAAGUAACAAUAAUUUCACUCUAUCAUUUUCUCCUUCAAACAGUUUUGCCACCUGAAGAAGAAUAUGAUAAUAAAAAUAUGCUACAGAAAAGGAUCUACUAUUAAAAUAUAAGCAGCAUAUUUCAAUGUAAUUGCCAUCCACAUCAAAACCACUGAUAUAUCAUAAUACCCUUACAAAAAAGGCUAUCAGUCGACUAAAAUGUUAGAUAACUUUUUGAUCAAAGCUCUGAAAUCCAGAUGUAUGUAUGUAAACCUUUUUGUAUAAAACUUGAUAUAGAAUAUUGCACCAAUUUCUCAAUUAAAUGCAUUAAUUUGAUGCAGCUCUAGUAACGUGUUGUGCUACUAGACAAAAGAUAAAACAUGUUUUCUCUAACCAUUGUUAAGCUAUUUUCAAACAACAUGUGGCUAUCACUUAUUCAUCUAGUUAUAAGCAACACCAUAGGUAGAUACUGCUCAGUUCUGUAUGGAGGAAUCAGUGAACAAUUAACAAGUGUUAUAUAAACUGGCUGUGUCAAGUUUCAAAUUCUAUAUAUCGUCUUGUAGAAGACAAUAUAAGUCUUCUCAAUUACUCAAAUCACAAGAGUCUAAUUAUUGACUUAGUCAGCCUUACAACAGUAAGGUAAGCUACAACAGACCAUAAUAAAUGUAUUUAUUAAUAAUGAGAUUCAACAUAAGUGAGGAGGAAUAGAGUCCACCGCUCGAUUGUAUUUCUAAAUGACACCAAAAAGAUAUUAAAGAUGAAAAUAAA